AAUGCCGCGCAUAUAGAGAAGAACUCACGAGGAUUAGCCAUUAAUCACAGCAAGCUAAUCACCGACUUCAACUCCAACUCCGUCUCCGACUUGCUACCAUCACCGAUUUCAACUCGGACUCGGACUCGGCUGCCGAUAAAUCCAAGCCCGCCGCCACUCUCCGUCUACGCAUUCCCCACAAUUCCUUCCACCCAUCCUCGCAGCAGCGCUCGUUCGUCCAUGGCGCUUCCCCACCACUCGAGUCCCCGCUCCUCGCGCCCGAUCAGCCACCGCCGCAGUGAGCUCGCCGUCGAGGCCAAGGGGAGAGUAGUCUCCAAUAAGGCGUCAGGAGGGUCGCCCGUCAAGAAGAUGUCAUCCGCGCCGUCGCCGGCGCCCGUGUCCUUCAAGAAGGGCGACGAGGUGCGCAUCCGCACGCCGGUUGGGAGGCUAGGGACCACGACGCUGCGCCUCGUCAUGUGGCUCGGCGCGGUCGUCGUCUCCGACGCUGAUGCCGACGACGGCCACCUCGAGGUCAUCUACAACGGCAACUUCCCGCGCGACGACCCCUUCCGGACCGUGCGCGUCGCCGUCAAGGACGUCAAGCUGCCCGCGCCGCGCCCGGCCCCGACCCUGACCCCGGCAAACAUGGCGGCCCCGCGGCCGACCACGGCCGUCAAGUCGCUGCCGCGGCUGAAGAUGUUUGUGCUGGAGAAGGAGCAGCUGCGGGCCAAAUCCAAGGCCUUGUUGGCACCAAUACUGGAUCAGUUAAUCACAGCCAAGCUAAUAGCCGACUUGAACUCGGACACCGACUUCAAUUCCAACUCGGACUCGGCUGGCUAUAAAUCCAUGCGCGGCCGCCUCCCUUCGCAUUCACCAGCAAUUCCUUCCGCCAAUCCUCGCACUCCCAGCAGCGCUCUCGUCGUCAAUGGCGCUUCCCCGCCGCUCGAUGAGCUCGCCGUCGAGGCGAAGGGGAGAGUAGUCUCCAAGAAGCCGUCCGGAUCAGGAUCGCCCAUCAACAAGAUGUCCUCCUUCAAGAAGGGCGACGAGGUGCGCGUCCGCACGUCGUUGGGGAGGCUAGGGACCACGGCACUGCGCCUCGUCAUGUGGCUCGGCGCGGUCGUCGUCUCCGACGCAGACGCCGACGACGGACACCUGGAGGUCAUCUACAACGGCAACUUCCCGCGCGACGACCCCUUCCAGACCGUGCACGUCGCCGUCAAGGACGUCAAGCUGCCGGCGCGGCGCCCGGCCCCGACCCCGGCAAACAUGGCGGCCCCGCGGCCGAACAAGGCCGGCAAGUCGCUGCCGCGGCUGAAGAUGUUUAUGCUGGAGAAGGAGCUGCUGCGGGCCAACCCCGAGGCCUUGUUGGCAUCCACCGACUUCAACUCGAACUCCGUCUCCGACUUGCUUCCUUCACCGAUUUCAACUCGGACUCCGCUUCGGCUGCCGAUAAAUCCUAGCGCGCCGCCCCUCACCGUCUCCGCAUUCACCACAAUUCCUUCCACCCAUCCUCGCAGCAGCGCUAGCUCGUCGUCCAUGGCGCUUCCCCGUCGCUCGAGUCCCAGCUCCUCGCGCCCGAUCAUCCACCGCGCCGUCGACGCCAAGGGGAGAGUAGUCUCCAAGAAGCCAUCAGCAGGGUCGCCCGUCAAGAAGAUGUCAUCCGCGCCGUCGACGGCGUCGCCCGUGUCCUUCAAGAAGGGCGACGAGGUGCGCGUCCGCACGCCGGUGGGGAGGCUAGGCACCACGGCGCUGCGCCUCGUCAUGUGGCUCGGCGCGGUCGUCGUCUCCGACUCCGACGCCGACGACGGACACCUCGAGGUCAUCUACAACGGCAACUUCCCGCGCGACGACCCAUUCCGGACCGUGCGCGUCGCCGUAAAGGACGUCAAGCUGCCCGCGCCGCGCCCGGCCCCGACCCCGGCUAACAUGGCGGCCCCGCGGCCGACCACGGCCGGCAAGAAUCUGCCGCGGCUGAAGAUGUUUGUGCUGGAGAAGGAGCAGCUGCGGGCCAAAUCCUAG
rnacentral:lncRNA from 1 species